UGCGGGGGGGGCAAGCGUUGUUCGGAAUUACUGGGCGUAAAGGGUUUGUAGGUGGCUUGCUAAGUCAGACGUGAAAUCCCUCAGCUUAACUGGGGAACUGCGUCUGAUACUGGCGAGCUUGAGUGCAGGAGAGGAACGCGGAAUUCCAGGUGUAGCGGUGAAAUGCGUAGAUAUCUGGAGGAACACCGGUGGCGAAGGCGGCGUUCUGGACUGUAACUGACACUGAGAAACGAAAGCCAGGGUAGCAAACGGG
rnacentral:rRNA from 1 species